AUACGGAGGGUGCAAGCGUUAAUCGGAAUUACUGGGCGUAAAGCGCUCGUAGGCGGUUUGUUAAGUCGGAUGUGAAAGCCCCGGGCUCAACCUGGGAACUGCAUUCGAUACUGGCAGACUAGAGUAUAGUAGAGGCAAGUGGAAUUCCGGGUGUAGCGGUGAAAUGCGUAGAUAUCCGGAGGAACAUCAGUGGCGAAGGCGACUUGCUGGACUAAUACUGACGCUGAGGUGCGAAAGCGUGGGGAGCAAACAGGAUUAGAAACCCGAGUAGUCC
rnacentral:rRNA from 1 species